rnacentral:rRNA from 1 species
UAGCGAAGGGGGCUAGCGUUGCUCGGAAUCACUGGGCGUAAAGGGUGCGUAGGCGGGUCUUUAAGUCAGGGGUGAAAUCCUGGAGCUCAACUCCAGAACUGCCUUUGAUACUGAAGAUCUUGAGUUCGGGAGAGGUGAGUGGAACUGCGAGUGUAGAGGUGAAAUUCGUAGAUAUUCGCAAGAACACCAGUGGCGAAGGCGGCUCACUGGCCCGUAACUGACGCUGAGGUGCGAAAGCGUGGGGAGCAAACAGG